AAGAUGCGCGCCUCUUCAGGUGCUUUGAUAUCCAUCAGAGUUAAACGGGAAGUUGGUGAAAAACCAACACUGCCCCCGCAACGGUAAACGUUGAAAAUGCAUCCAAUCAGCCACUGCGAUUAAUCGUGGGAAGGCGGAUGUACUGGCGCAAGCCACAACGUGAGUCCGGAGACCGGCCUGAAGUUCAUCACAACC
rnacentral:ncRNA from 2 species